rnacentral:rRNA from 1 species
GAUCAGUGGCUCGAGGACGACGCUGGCGGCGUGCUUAACACAUGCAAGUCGAACGAUGAAGCUAGAGCUUGCUCUGGUGAAUUAGUGGCGAACGGGUGAGUAACACGUGAGUAACCUGCCCCGAACUCUGGGAUAACUGCUGGAAACGGUAGCUAAUACUGGAUACGACCUACGAAGGCAUCUUCUGUAGGUGGAAAGAAUUUCGGUUCGGGAUGGACUCGCGGCCUAUCAGCUUGUUGGUGAGGUAAUGGCUCACCAAGGCGACGACGGGUAGCCGGCCUGAGAGGGUGACCGGCCACACUGGGACUGAGACACGGCCCAGACUCCUACGGGAGGCAGCAGUGGGGAAUAUUGCACAAUGGGCGCAAGCCUGAUGCAGCAACGCCGCGUGAGGGAUGACGGCCUUCGGGUUGUAAACCUCUUUUAGUAGGGAAGAAGCGAAAGUGACGGUACCUGCAGAAAAAGCACCGGCUAACUACGUG